GUGAGGCACGUGCAUGACCAAGGUGACUUCCAGGGGACACCUUCAAGGAACUGGCUGCCAUUCUCAGGGGUCAGCCCCCUCCCGCUCCCUGAGAGUCUUUGAAGAGAUGGCAGAAGGUGAGGAGGCAGCAGGGUGGGGCAUCGCCUCCCUCCCUUCAGGCCUGGACACACAUCGCUAGUGUGACGGAUGAGGACUGGGGCUCCUUCAGCCACGGGAGGGUGGCUCGCUCGCGCUCUCUCCCUCCAGACAAGAAGAUGCUUUUCACCUGGGCAAGAGAAGUGGUAGAGGGUCUGAGUGGACUGUCUCCCUUCCGUGUUUCUCAGCGCGUGAUCCUCCCCCUCACAGGAUCCUCCCGGUCUCUGGUUCCCGGCUGCAUCAUGGGAAGAUCCCGGACCACUCCUAAUGUCUGCCACUCCAGUCUGCAGGCCCUGGCCCCAACCCCGGGACCUGCCUCAUGCAG